GGCAGAUGGGUGUGGGGCAGGAGGCCAUCCUGACUCGCUGCCAUGGCCGCGCAGUCCUGGAGCGCUGGUGGGGAACCAAGCGGAUCGACUACUCGCUGUACUGCCCCGAGGCGCUCACCGCCUUUCCCACCGUCACGCUGCCCCACCUCUUCCACGCCAGCUACUGGGAGUCCGCCGACGUGGUGGCGUUCAUCCUGCGCCAGGUGAUCGAGAAGGAGCGGCCACAGCUGGCGGAAUGCGAGGAGCCGUCCAUCUACAGCCCGGCCUUCCCCAGGGAGAAGUGGCAGCGAAAACGCACGCAGGUCAAGAUCCGGAACGUCACUUCCAACCACCGGGCGAGCGACACGGUGGUGUGCGAGGGCCGCCCCCAGGUGCUAAG
rnacentral:sRNA from 1 species